rnacentral:rRNA from 1 species
UGGGGAAUAUUGCACAAUGGGGGAAACCCUGAUGCUGCGACGCCGCGUGAAGGAAGAAGUAUCUCGGUAUGUAAACUUCUAUCAGCAGGGAAGAUAGUGACGGUACCUGACUAAGAAGCCCCGGCUAACUACGUGCC